rnacentral:rRNA from 1 species
CCUACGGGAGGCAGCAGUGGGGAAUAUUGCACAAUGGGGGAAACCCUGAUGCAGCGACGCCGCGUGAGUGAAGAAGUAUUUCGGUAUGUAAAGCUCUAUCAGCAGGGAAGAAAUAGCGACCUUUGGGUCGCCAGACGGUACCUGACUAAGAAGCCCCGGCUCACUACGUGCCAGCAGCCGCGGUAAUACGUAGGGGGCAAGCGUUAUCCGGAUUUACUGGGUGGAAAGGGAGCGUAGACGGCAGCACAAGUCUGAAGUGAAAUGCCGGGGCUUAACCCCGGAACUGCUUUGGAAACUGUGCAGCUAGAGUGCAGGAGAGGUGAGUGGAAUUCCGAGUGUAGCGGUGAAAUGCGUAGAUAUUAGGAGGAACACCAGUGGCGAAGGCGGCUUACUGGACUGUAACUGACGUUGAGGCUCGAAAGCGUGGGGAGCAAACAGGAUUAGAUACCCUAGUAGUC